rnacentral:piRNA from 1 species
AAAGGAGGUUUCAGUAGUGCACAUG